CCUACGGGAGGCAGCAGUGAGGAAUAUUGGUCAAUGGGCGAGAGCCUGAACCAGCCAAGUCGCGUGAAGGAUGACGGCCCCACGGGUUGUAAACUUCUUUUGUCAGGGAGCAAUUGGGUCCACGCGUGGGCUUAGCGAGAGUACCUGAAGAACAAGCAUCGGCUAACUCCGUGCCAGCAGCCGCGGUAAUACGGAGGAUGCGAGCGUUAUCCGGAUUUGUUGGGGUUAAAGGGUGCGUAGGCGGAAUAUCAAGUCAGCGGUAAAAAUUCGGGGUUCAACCCCGUCGUGCCGUUGAAACUGAUGUUCUAGAGUGGGCGAGAAGUAUGCGGAAUGCGUGGUGUAGCGGUGAAAUGCAUAGAUAUCACGAAGAACUCUGAUUGCGAAGGCAGCAUACCGGCGCCCAACUGACGCUGAAGCACGAAAGCGUGGGUAUCGAACAGGAUUAGAUACCCUUGUAGUC
rnacentral:rRNA from 1 species